AUUGAACGCUGGCGGCAGGCCUAACACAUGCAAGUCGAACGGUAACAGGAAGAAGCUUGCUUCUUUGCUGACGAGUGGCGGACGGGUGAGUAAUGUCUGGGAAACUGCCUGAUGGAGGGGGAUAACUACUGGAAACGGUAGCUAAUACCGCAUAACGUCGCAAGACCAAAGAGGGGGACCUUCGGGCCUCUUGCCAUCGGAUGUGCCCAGAUGGGAUUAGCUAGUAGGUGGGGUAACGGCUCACCUAGGCGACGAUCCCUAGCUGGUCUGAGCGGAUGACCAGCCACACUGGAACUGAGACACGGUCCAGACUCCUACGGGAGGCAGCAGUGGGGAAUAUUGCACAAUGGGCGCAAGCCUGAUGCAGCCAUGCCGCGUGUAUGAAGAAGGCCUUCGGGUUGUAAAGUACUUUCAGCGGGGAGGAAGGGAGUAAAGUUAAUACCUUUGCUCAUUGACGUUACCCGCAGAAGAAGCACCGGCUAACUCCGUG
rnacentral:rRNA from 1 species